rnacentral:rRNA from 1 species
AGUGAACGCUAGCGGUGCGCCUAACACAUGCAAGUCGAGCGAGGCUUCGAGCCGAGCGGCGAACGGCUGCGUAACACGUUGGUACCUGCCCUAAACUCAGGGAUAACCCCGCGAAAGCGGGGAUAAUACCGGAUAGUCCUGCAAAGGUAAAGAUUUUUCGGUUUAGGAGGGGCCUGCGGCCUAUCAGCUAGUUGGUAAGGUAAUGGCUUACCAAGGCUAUGACGGGUAGCUGAUCUGAGAGGAUGAUCAGCCAGAAUGGGACUGAGACACGGCCCAUACUCCUACGGGAGGCAGCAGUGAGGAAUAUUCCGCAAUGGGGGGAAACCCUGACGGAGCGACACCGCGUGGAGGAUGACGACUUUUUUAGUUGUAAACUCCUGUCCUGAGGGAAGAAAUUUUUGACUGUACCUCAGAAGAAAGCACGGCUAAUUCUGUG